rnacentral:rRNA from 1 species
UACGAAGGGGGGCUAGCGUUGCUCGGAAUCACUGGGCGUAAAGCGCACGUAGGCGGCUUUUUUAAGUCAGGGGUGAAAUCCUGGAGCUCAACUCCAGAACUGCCUUUGAUACUGAGAGGCUUGAGUCCGGGAGAGGUGAGUGGAAUUCCGAGUGUAGAGGUGAAAUUCGUAGAUAUUCGGAAGAACACCAGUGGCGAAGGCGGCUCACUGGACCGGUAUUGACGCUGAGGUGCGAAAGCGUGGGGAGCAAACAGG